GGGGAUUUAGCUCAGUGGUAGAGCGCUUGCCUCGCAAACGCAAGGCCCUGGGUUCGGUCCCCAGCUCCG
rfam:Rattus norvegicus chromosome 9, whole genome shotgun sequence.